UUGGAGCUUUUUAUUGUUUUCGGUUUUUAGACACAGCAGCAAUUGAAGAGUUGCCCACCGCAGAGAGGUUACGGUGGGUUGGGAGUGCUGCUGCGCCGGGCGCCACCGCAUCGCAUUGUACAUGACACUCAAACGAUGCUUGUGGGGCUGCUGGUCGGGUUGCAAACUAUUCUGCCCCGUGCGCUUUGAUGCUCACUUCACUUUUUCUGUUUUUUUUUUUUUUUUGCUUUCUGUUUUUGCAAUUGCCUUGCUGUGCUCUUAUGUUGUUGUUGCUGCUGUUUCUGCUGCUGCUUUUGGUACGUUCGAUGGCGGCAACGUUUGGUCCUUGUGUGGCUGGCUGCCUCCUGUUUUGCUGUGUGUGGCCCCGGUUUGGUGUUGGUUCGCUGUGAGAUGCGAGAUUUUGGCUUUUGUCGCUCGCUGCUCUGCUCUUUGACAAACGCGACGCGACGCGAGUGAACAGUCAGCCAACUUUUUGUUGUGGCACCGCAUAAAAAAACUCACACGCAGCUAUUUUUCUAAAUUUUUCUAAUCAACCAAACCGAAUGUGCAAAUAGGAAAACGCGUUUAUUGGCCACAAGUAACAAUACUUGUGCUUCAGUGCAUAAAUUGGAAAAACGCCACGAGUUUCUCUUAACAAAAUCGAACCUGUCGCGGAAUUAGAAAAUUUGGUUCCUGUCGCCAGCAUCGACUACGUCGCCGUCGCCGUCGCCGUCGUCGUGUUGUCGUCACCAGGGCUGGGACGCCCGCUAUGUUUGGGAGACGCGUUGGACUCGUUGUUGUUGUUAUUAUUGCCAUUGUCGCCGCCACGUUGCUAGCGUUAUCCUCGUGGUCGUGUCCAGGGGCUGAGCCCACGUCCCAGCUUGGUGCAGUAAGAUUAGAAACUAUUUCCGGGAGUGUAGAGGCGGCUGCUUCUAGGCUACUGGCCCUGUGGCUGCCAUGUGGGCAUGGAGCUAAGAUUCGCCCAUUGAAAGUGUUGGACUUGGAAGUGUAAAAGGCGCGCGCGAGCAAGGAAAAGUCGCAUAGUCCGCCAGCCAUUCCCAUCGCCCCUCACCCCGACCCUCACCCUUACCCUCACCCACAUCCGUAUUCGACACCCUUUACCCGUGGACGUAGUACCGUAAUGUUUUAGUUCGAAAGGCUCUCGCUCGGUCGCUUGCUCUCUCUCUCUCUCUUUCUCUCUCUCCAUGUCUCUCGCGGAGUACAUUUAAGUGUGUAAGACUCGCUCUCGACCUCUCUUGCUCCUGCUGGUGUGUGUCCGCUCUCUGUUAAACGUUCUCAAAGUUGACAUGUUUAUGUUUUGGCAACAAACGGUGCUCUCUGUUGCAAAUUUUGACAGCUGCAAAUGUCAGCACAGUGGUACAAAUCAUAAACAUUUAACUGAAUUUAAAAUCUGUCUACUUGGCAAUCGGAUGGCUAACUAAGCCCAACAAAUGGUUCCUAGCAAAACUACACUGAUUUAAUAAUGCACGAUGAGCAAGGGACAUGACUUGGUAAUUGAUUGGUAACGUAUGAUGAAUGGUCGCUCCCGGGGAGCGGGCUCUUUAGUUUUUAGCCCUGCAGUUGCCAGGUAAGUGCCCUUUUUGAUUACCUUAAAGCGUUCUUAAAGCUGCCAAUGGGCCAUUUCCCGUUCCUUGCCGUGCCGCUUGACAAAUUGCCAAUGCUUCGCAAACUUGCGGCACAGUGGCUUUAAAACAUCGCCUGUCACAGGCAGACGCCCCAGUGACGAGACGACAAGUUGUCAUCCCGUUGGCACGGGAGUGGGGAGGGUGGAGGCGCCGCCAAUGACCGGCAUAUUUAUUUGUGUGUAUCGAUCUAUUUUUUGGUCCAACAUAGACGCUGUUGUUGGCUGAAAAAUGAGGCUGGUUCAAUGCCGGCACCGCAGGGAAUUAAUGGAGUCCUUGCAUUAUUUUUUUUUUGCUUUUGCAUGGCGGGUUGAAUGACUUGGCCGGAAAGCGCAGUGGGUGCGAGUUCUGGGCCAGGUAAGGGCCAGAGGCUGGUCCUAAGUCGUUUAUGGCAGGCCGUGUCAAGCGUUGAAAGUCACAAAAUUUCGUUUUGUAGUCUGUAGCUGGACCUAAGCGAAGGUAAGGUAUGCAAGCGGACAGGUAAAUAUGAAUUGAUGUACACAGGUAAAUGUUAAAACGAAACGUUUUGUCUAUUAAAUGUGCAAAAAAUAAUACAAAUUAGUUCGUAGUAUGAAUCCAGUGACUCUUAAACUGUACGCGCCUCGUAAACAGCUGUUCGGUUUGCCAUAAAAAGCGAGUGAGCAUAUAUCAUGCUAGCCCGCUCGCGCAAUGCGGCGAAUUCGUAUCGUCGUAUCGUCGGUCCUGAGCUCGUUUACUGCUCUCUUUCUCGUGCGCGCAACGAAAACAAAAACAAACCAUUAAAAGUGCAGCGAAAUGGCCGUUUGAGCGUGAAAUAUGAGCGAAAACAAUGCGGCGAAGAGCGGCGCGCUCCGUGAAUGUCGUUGAAUGUUUGUGUGUGUGUGAGAGCGAGUGUGCACUUGUCUGUCAAGAUUAUGGCGGUUUUUCAGUAUCAACGAGUUGGGGUCUGCCAAAAAGAAAAUCGUCGCUGUCGCUGUUGCUGCUGUUGUUGUUGUAGUUGUUGUUGUUGUUGAUUUCUCGAGCGCCGACGGCAACUCCUAUUUUUCUUCAUGUGCCAUUUUUAAUGUUGUUUUUUUGUUUCGCUUCGCGAGCGACUUUCGUAUUGCACUCGGCACUCGGCGCUCAGUUCAAGUUGAGUUUGAGUGAGCCUCGCCUCACACACGCAGCUUCAGUUACACACACAUGCACACAACAUACAAGCAGGCACAUUCACAUCAACUUGAUAUCGUGUCGUCGUCUUCAUCUUUGCUGUCGCUCGCUCGUCGUUUUCAUUUGAUAAAUUGCGUUUAUAAGAAAGAGAUGAAUUGUCAUGCACAGCAGCAGCGCCAACAACAAAACAGCACCAGCUGUCGUGUGUGUGCGUGAGUGUGAGCGAGCAACGGUUGGCGCUCAUUUGGGGCCCGCUGCCGCCGCUUUAAAUCAUAUUGGCUGCGCCUCAGUCUGUGCCUCUGUGUAUGUGUGUGUGUGUUUGUGUAUAUGUGUGUGUGCAUGAGCUUUCUCAUCGCCUUAUUUUUCGCUCGCACACAGUUUUCUUCGUCCGUCUCGCCUACAAAUGCCGCAGCAAUGCUCAGCACUCAGCGCUCAGCGCUCGUCUGGGAUUGGAAGUUUCCAAAUGCAAUUUUGCUGCCUUGAGCUUUUCGUCUUAUUAUCAAGCUGCCGUUUCUCUUUUUCUCGUCUAUCUUUUUUCAACGGUGGGUGGAGACCUCGGUGCGCCCUUCGCUCUUUGCUUGGGAUCUGCUUAUUUAAAUUUCAGGGUCUCCUCAAUUUUGCCAAAUUGUAAUAUUAAAUUAAAUUAAAUUCCCAUUGCAUUUUUCUUCCAUUUUGCUUGCCCUUAAAGAAUGCAAUAUACAAAAUUGCCAACAAGUGCUGUUAUUUCGUUUUCCUCCAGUGCAGCUAAGACCUCGUUUAACUCUCAAACUCGCAUAUGGAUAGAUGUCUUAAGAUGUUGUUUAUAUAACAUGCACCUUUUGCAGUUCCAAUCAAAUGUAGUCCUAUUUACAGUUUCAAUUGGAUUUCUGACUAUUCACGAGUCACAUUUAAUUCGCAUUGUAAUUUACACUAAGAACAACUGUCCUUCACUUUGCGAUAAUUUAACCAGAGGAUAAAUUAGAAUAAUAAUAAUUUCGUUUCUUAUACCUUUAAACGGAAUCUUAAUUUGUUUGUCAGAUAAAAUAUCAAAAUCUCUAUCCGAAGCUCUAUUAAAUUUUGGAAUUAUCCUGUAAGAUUUUCAUCUUCAGGUUUCUUAUCCUUGAACUUUGUUGUAAAUGACACGGAUGCCAUUUUAGUCGUUUCUAUCGUAUAAACCCAUUUCGGCAAUACACCCACCACCCACCUUGUCUAUUAACCCCGAGCAGUCAGCACACUCAAAUAGAUUAGCAAUUUAUUACUUUUAAUUGAAUUUUCAAAUGAAUACGAAUCGCAUACGCUUUGUUUUCGCUCACAUUUGGCACACAAAUUUGCAUUAGCAGGUCUUAAAUUUAAGCACCUUGGCACUGCAAUAACAACAGCACGGCAACAGCAACAAUUUUUUGCAUGAGGCGAUUGAAAAAAGUUGGGGGAAAAAAAUCUCGAACCGCAAAUCAAUCAACGUCUCAUAAAUUUGUCAAGUGGGCGACAGUAAGAUGAGAGCUCCGGGCGAGUGGAGGCGAGGGCAGGAACCAGCUACUCAGCUCCUCGCAACAACAACAGUUGGGGAAAAGACGCGCAAUAGAAACAAAAUAUGAUCAGCUGUUUUGAAAUGGAAACCAGAUUAAGUGCAGCAUCAUCAUCAGCAUCAUUGUCAUUAUUAUUGUCAUUGUCCUCGGUGUAACAGUGGCCACAUCCUUGCCAGGCAACCAGCCAGUCAGCCAGCCAGCCAGGAGGCAGCAAAAUAAAAAACAAAGCAAUUUUUCAUUUUUGCCUAAAAACGCGCAAAAACGGCGGCAACAUUAAAACGAGCGCCGGCGUCGACGCAGCAGCCGCCCGUGUUGCCGUUGGCUCCUCGAAAAUGAAAAUGGCGACCGGGCGCCGCACGCCGGUUAGCCAAAAAAAAAAUUAUAAAAAAAAAAAUAAAAUCGCAAAAAAAGGAACAACAACAACAACAACAAGAAAAGCAAAAGGACACACAGGCCAAAAAUGCGUUGUUGAAAAAUUGCCUCGGAAUAUGUGUUAACUGCUUUUUAAGCUGCCACGAGGACGACGACACGACGACGGAGUCGCCACCAGCAGCAGCAACAACAACAACAAACGGCAGCGGCAGGAUAUGCAUUUUGGGCAGUUGAAUUUAUCGGCGCGCGAUUUAUUAUUGCACACAAAGUUCACGGUGCGAACAGCUGUUGGUUGUUUUUAUUGUUUCUGUUGUUGUUGCUGCUGCUGCUGCUGCUGGCAGGAUCAUUGGCUAAGUGGCUGGAUCGCCAUGACGCCUGCCGACAACGACAACAACAACAACAACAACGACGUCGACAACGUCGCUGCAGCUUUUGAAGGCGUUGCCUAUUCAACUGUCUAUGUAUGCGUGCGUAUGUGUAUGUUAGUGCUUCUCUUUGUAUGACUUUGUGUGUGUGUGUGUGAGUUGGCAAAGAGCGCAAAAAAGUUGAGCGAAAGUUGAGCGCGAUGCGAAGUGACGGACAAGCGCAAGCAAGCAAGCAAGCAAGCAUAAGGCAAAGGCAAUGCCAAACGACAACGUCUGGAGUGUGGCAAAGGCUAGAAAACACCUGAAAGCACUCACUGACACAAACACAAACACAAACAGCAGAGAACACGCUCAACCCCAGCCCCAAAAACCACCCAAUGCCCAAUGCCUGCGCGCACAGGUGGGGCGGCCAAAGAAGACUGAAUGGCAAACUGAUGCAAACUGCCACUCACUCAAGCGAAAAUAACAAAUGGGAUUGGUUUUUGCUGAUUUUCAACGCACGCACAGCGACGGCAACAACGACGACGACGACGACGACGCUGGCAGCAGCAGAGAGAGAGGCGAUGCGACGGUAGCAACGGCCAAAACCUAUAAGCCGUCUCCUUUUGGCCAAAGCCAAAUAAAUUUCAAACGAAUGAACGAACGUUGAGCGAACGCCAACGACGACGACGACGACGACAACGACGACGACGACGACGACGACGUCGUCGUUGCGCAAAAAGAGUCGAAAAACAAAUGGCAAAAACAAAAAACAAAACAACAAAAAAAUAUAUAUAGCAAAACUGAGCGCAGUAGAGUAGCGCAGCCCAGGCCAGAUUGUGACAAGUGUGUGUAUGACAGAAAAGGCGUACUAACAAAUCAGUCAUCAUCCUUUGCGCUCUGCCUUUGGGCCCCAUUUUGUAGUGUGCUCACAAGAGCGCGCCUGCGCUUUCGCCGCGCAAUUCGCCGCAAUUACACCAACAAAGCGACCAGCAGGCGCAAACACAGACACACACACGCACGCACCACAAUUCGCCGGAGUCAGAUGUGUUUGUAUAGCCAUCGCAUUCGCACUGCUGGUAAAUUUAUGAGCCACCGCUUUGUACAACCUUUUUUAAUGGCACAAUUGUUGCGUCGCCGCCGUCUUUGCGACUGUGUGCGUGCGUAUGUGUGAGUGUACGAUCGACCAGACAGCGGCGUGCAAGCGUGCAUGAGCAUGAUUGACAGUGUGUAUUUGCCUUCGAACCGCGUACGACGUGCUUGUGCUUGUGCUGUCUGUGUUGUGUGCGAAGCGAGAAGCGAAGCCGAAAACGCCGAAGCCGUCGCCAACGUCGCAGCCGUUGAGAAAAAUUAUUAUUAUUACUAUUAUUAUUGCUAUUGCAUAGCAUUAUUAUUGUUAUUGCCACACUACACAACAACAACAACAAAAACAACAACAAUAUUAGCAAUAACCACAACUGCGGACAGCUAGCGGAACAAAUUUUGGACACCGCCAAAAAUUUAAUCGUCGCGAUCUCCUCGGCAAGCCAGCAAAUAAUAUAUCAAAUCACAUACAUAUAAGUGAAAAGCGCGCGCGUCUCGUUGCGCGACGUUACGAUCGGUCGUUACGUUACGUUACGCGUUACGCAGCAACGUUAACGGACUUUCGUCGUGUUGCCGCCGCCGUCUCCGUAUCCGUCGCCUACGCCUUCGCCUUCGCCGUCGCCUUCGCUGUCGCCGUCGCCGUCGCGUUACCGUCGCUAAAACAACAUUUGCAACAUUUUCCGAUUGCACGUUUCGUUAGAAGCAAACCAAAAAACAAAGUGCAGUUAAUGCAACCAUAAACUGUAAACAGUUAGUCGAUGUUGAUUGGCUGCUGAUUUGUACGAAACAAUUGACAACAAGCUUUUGGUUUUUCGUAGCAUAUUAUAGUAUGUAGAAGCAGCUGUGAUAAAUAGUGCGCAUAUUAUACGAAGCAAGAAGUAUACGACAUACAAGCAAACAAAUAUACAACAAAAUAAAACAGCAACACAAAAGGGACGCAGUCAAA